rnacentral:misc_RNA from 1 species
AAACUACAAGGGGAGCCGAAGCUCCCCCAGAAAGUAGUUGCGUGCUCUAUUUUUAUUAUUGAUUUCGGGCUUCUUGUUUUUGUUGAUCGCCCUCGUCAUGAGAUUUGACCUUCAUGACACUCCCAAUCGGGAGUCAAGAGCAAACGGAUUGCUUUGGUCGCUGUGUUGCGAUGAUCAAUGAUCCAACCAGUUCAGGCUCUGCCUUAGGGCAGUU